rnacentral:rRNA from 1 species
AGAUUGAACGCUGGCGGCAUGCCUUACACAUGCAAGUCAUACGGGCUACCUUCGGGUAGCCAGUGGCAAACGGGUGAGUAACACGUGGGAACGCGCCUUGGGGUGGGGAAUAACGCUGAGAAAUCAGUGCUAAUACCGCAUAUGGUCUAACGACUAAAGCAGCAAUGCGCCCCGAGAGCGGCCCGCGACCGAUUAGCUAGUUGGUGGGGUAAUGGCCUACCAAGGCGGUGAUCGGUAGCUGGUCUGAGAGGAUGGUCAGCCACACUGGGACUGCGAACGGCCCAGACUCCUACGGGAGGCAGCAGUUAGGAAUUUUCGGCAAUGGACGAAAGUCUGACCGAGCGACGCCGCGUGGAGGAUGACGCCUUUCGGGGUGUAAACUCCUUUUCUGCGGGAAGAUAAUGACGGUACCGCAGGAAUAAGCACCGGCUAACUACGUGCCAGCAGCCGC